UACGUAGGGUCCGAGCGUUGUUCGGAAUCACUGGGCGUAAAGGGCGCGUAGGCGGCCGAUCAAGUCGGGGGGUGAAAGCCUGUGGCUCAACCACAGAAUUGCCUUCGAUACUGUUUGGCUUGAGACCGGAAGAGGUAAGUGGAACUGCGAGUGUAGAGGUGAAAUUCGUAGAUAUUCGCAAGAACACCAGUGGCGAAGGCGGCUUACUGGUCCGGUUCUGACGCUGAGGCGCGAAAGCGUGGGGAGCAAACAGG
rnacentral:rRNA from 1 species